UUACGGCGCGCGCGUCGCGUCAGUCGGUUUUCGUGACGUAAUGCGCGAUGUUCUCGAGCCAACAUUGCGAGUUAGAAGCCUGGGGGGCUUGCGGUGACCUUGUAGUGUUUGUAAACAGACACACGUUGGUACACGUUGUCGUCGGACGAGACAUUAAAAAAAUAAACGACAAAGGUGAUCGGUAGAUUGUCGAGACGAAUAUCUCGUCGAGGAAAGUGCAAUAUCACGUUUGGGAAAAAGAUCGAAAGUGAAGAGAAGAAAGAGAGUCGAGCGAGGAAGGGAGAGAUAUUCGUCCAAGGAACAUGGAAGUGGAGCCGAUGUGUAUAGUCGAAAACGAAACGGAGGGAUCUCGCGGUGAUCGGAAAGAGGGGGGCAAGAGGGGACGCAAGCCCGGAAGGAAGGCGUCCGACAAGGUGGACAUGAAAGCCAAGCUCGAGCGAAGUCGACAGAGUGCGAGGGAGUGCCGUGCUCGAAAAAAGUUGAGAUAUCAGUACCUGGAAGAGCUUGUGGCUGACAGAGAAAAGGCUGUGUUAGCUCUAAGAAAGGAGCUAGAGAUGACCCAACCAACUCGGGAUCCCUUUGGAAUUGAACCGACGCUAGAACGAGCCGUGUAACUGCGAAUCGCUUUCCACUUUCUUGCGUGCCUGUUUAAUUUUGACCACCGGUUAUAUUAUAUUUAUUACAGUAGAGAGAGAGAGACGGAGAGAGAAAGAGAGAUAAACAGAUGAGGAAAAUACAUAGAAAGAGAAAGGGAAGUAGAUAGAGAACUACUAUGAAGCUCGAGGAAACACCCAAGUCCAACGAUAGUCCAUUUCGAAGUCCAAUCCAAUCCCGAUGAAGAUCCUUUAGUAUCGUCAAUGGGGACACGAAUUGGAUCGCGGACGUAUUCCCGAAGGGCUACAUACGGUUUUGGAGGAAUUGGGAAGCCUGAAACGGGAGAAGAGCAACAGCUAAAGCAGGAAAUAAGAAAUUUGGAGGAAUGUUCAGCGAACGUGUCGCGUUCCAUCCACUUUUUUUCGCUCCACCGAUUGUAGCAGCCGAGUUUCUUUCUUUUUUAUACUUAUUAUUUUUCAUUCGACGGAUCUUCGAGGCCAAAGAUGCAGCGUGAUUUUAACUACCGUGCAUUUGCAUCUAAGUCUGUGUGCGUGUCUAUCAUCGGAUUUUAAAUUCGAUUAUUUGACGUUUAGACGAUCACGCCCUCUUUUACAUAUUUUAUUCACUCGAUCUUUUUCUCUUUUUCUUUUUCGUUUUUAACGCGAACGAUUCUUCUUCUUCUUUUUCCCUCUCCCUCGCUCUCUCUUUCCAUCGAAUCGUUCGAGAAGUACGACUCCAAUUCUUUUCUAUCUUCUUCUAUUUUAUUUCUUCUUUUGCUCGGUUACUCCGUUCGUAAUCCCGCGAGAAAAAAACUUGUUCUUUUCUGCUCCCGUCCCCCUGAUCGUUUCUUUUUUCUCGUUUUGUCGUAUGAAGAAAGAGAUGUCAUGUUGGUUGCAGUACCAGCAAGCCCUCGUUGUUUCGUCGCUCGUGUUUCGUGCCGUGCACUCGAAAUUUGUUGCGUUGUUUCUCAUUCGUUAAAGUUUUCUAUCGUUUUCUUUUCUCUUUUGAUCUUUUGAAAUUCUUUAUAAAUCAUUGUUGAAGCGUAACGACGACAACGACCAAGAUACAACGUUGUACGGUCGGUCACGUCGUCGAUGGCCUGACGAAAAGAUAAGGAUAGCAUAAAAAGAGAUAAAGUAUCUCUUUGAUGAUCGUUACAUCGUAAAUUAUUAAAUGGUUCUCUUUUUGUAUAUGUGUGUAGUCUGUUGAACGUCGCGGAAAAGAGAAUGGACGUUGUCGUUGUGUAACAUAGAAAUUCUAUCUAUAGAAAUUUUAAUUCAGUAUUUUGUCUUUUCGGGAAAAAGAUACGACGCGUUAUGGAUAGAUAAACUCGUUGAACCGUGUUGAAGAUUAUUUUCUUCCUUUUUUUCCUCUUUUUUCUAUUUUUUAAUUAUUUACAAAUAUCUUAUAGAUAUUGAAUAUUUCUAGUUCGUUUUUGAGAAAAGAUUAGGCCGCGCCUUUGUACAUGUAUACAAAGUACCUGUCACAGUCUGUAAAACGGUAUUUUUAUAAAGUGAACACAUAUUAUUUUGUACAAAAUAAAUAUUAUUGACAGAGAAGUUCGUUCGUAUAUUCGAAAGAGAUUUAAAGUAUAAAUAAAGUGGAUAUUUUUCAAGAAAA